rnacentral:sRNA from 1 species
GCUAGGUAUAGUGGCACAUGCCUGUAAUCCCAGUGACUUGGGAGGCUGAGGCAGGAGGAUCACAAGUUCCAGGCCAGGCUCAGCAACCUAAUGAGACCCUGUCUCAA